UCACACACCAGCUAACGAACACUAAGUUUAACUACACCUAAACAAGUGACUAGAACAAAGCGGGGGAAACACGGACCAAAUCACAUACAAGAACAAAAAAACACAGUAAGGCAGCGGAACUGGAAUGAACAAAAUAGAGAUUGAGGCGGAAACGAAACUGCGGAUUUAUUACCGAAGAUUGAGACCGAAAUUUUGUGCUAUAACAUCAACAUGAGAGGAGGAGCGAAGGAGAACUCUGGCUCAGCGGGAACUCAGACAAUCUGCAGACACAACUCCAGAGAGAAUGGAUUUCACAAAGUCUGUUUGUAUCUGCAUCUUGUGCUUCAUCAUGUAUGUGGACUCCCCCUCUGUAGACUCUCAGAUCACUGUACCUGCUCGAGAGGGAAACACAGCGGUCCUGCCAUGUAAAUUACACGUCACUACUGCCCAAGCACUACACGUCUCAUGGAGUAUUGGUGAUGAGGUUGUGUUUGAGCGAUGCGGUGAGGAGACAUUUCAGCGAUCAGAAUAUGAAGAUCGUGUGGACGUUCCUGAGGAGGAACUGCUUAAAGGAAACUGUUCCCUGGUGUUGAAGAACAUCAGAAACACUGAUCAGGGAAUCUACACCUGUUCACUGAUGACAGGACACAGGAAGAGAUCUGCCAUGACCAACAAGGACUUCAUCCAGAGUGUUACACUCCUCCUAGAUCAAUAAAUUAAUAUUGGAGCUUUAACGUUUUAUCAUAUUUUGUACCUGCAACGCCAUUAAACUCUGAUUGUUCAAAACUAAACA